rnacentral:rRNA from 1 species
GGAGAGAGGACAAAGCAGAGCGAAAGAGAGAGGAGGAGCGAGGCGGAGGGGAGGAGGGAGGGAGGAGGUCAGGUGUCUGGGUUUAGGGCAGCGAGCGUGUGUCCCUGCUCUCCCUUUCUAAAAAAAUUGCUUGACUUAAAAAAAAUAGGGCGACAAUAGAGGGAGGCUCGCCGUCGCGUCGCCCCUUCGGAUUUGGGAUCGGCCUCGCCUCGAAUAGGCCGCGCCGCCGCCGCCACCACCGUCACGACGAGGAGCGCCGUCACGCGCCGGCUGCCGCGCAGGGACGCCCGGAGCGGCGCGCUAAACCGCGCCCAAGCUCGAGACCUAGCGGCCUAAGCCCCGCCUGACCUAAAACGACCGACCAACGCGGCCACUCGCCGCAGCCCAAGGCCGCACAAAGCGAGGCACCCAAAAGCCACUGCUCCCAAACGACGGAACAAGGACGGGUUAAAACCGCCUAGAACGCCGGCAAGGCACGACUUUCCUACCGCUCCACUCACCACUGCGCGAGCUAGAACCCUCAUCAAAGACGACUCAAGCAUCGAGAGGGUAACGGACGUUGCUACCAUAGCAGUCCCGGCGGCUUGGGUUACCCCGGACCCGUCGGUCAUCCGCCACGGAGUGAAGAGGCCUGUUCAAGAUCGGACGAGUCACCACCGGUUGUCCCUUACCCACCCCCACCGCCGUACGAAGUCAGCGUCAGGGGCAAGAGUAGAGAGCAGAGGGGUUCCAGAGUCAAACCACCUUUACCGAACGACCCUCGUUGGAGAUUACAGAGGAGGGACGAAUUAGCCAGUAGCAAACCUUUACCCUCGGGACAAGGUUCAGGUCCUGUUUACGGUUUGCCACCCGAAGGCUACUUAUGGGAAGUCGUCUCUCCCCCGGAACUACCGCGACCACUAAAAUGACCGUGACCUCCUAGGCUAGGAUACAGCAAAGGUAGGAGGAGGAGCGUCCAAUCAAACCCGUUAGUGGAUCCAAGUCUAUAGGACGUCGUCGUCGUCUACCUACACGCCCUAAACGUCGUGGUCGUUCUCGUUGUUGUAGUUGUUGUAGUUGACGGCUACAGAAUGUUGGUCGUCGUCAACGGCAGUGUCGUCAGCGUCGGCGUCCGACGUCACUUCAACCUCUUACCACCGUCGUAACCACCUCAGUUUAAUCUUGUCGUCUACCCCGACGGACUGGUCUUACCGGGUCAGGUCUACUAGGCGUUACGACCUUUACAUUUUAAACUCAGCGUCGUCAACGUUCCCAACUCCCCAAACCCACGUCAGUUCUACCUCGUCAGCUCAAGGCUGGGUAGUCGUAAGAACGUCGUUGUCGUCGUUGUUGUCGUCGUGGUAGUGUUGAACAACGUUGAGUGCUUCGUCUUGGGAGUUCGACGACGCCGACGGGUUGACUUGGAGAACGUUGUCGUCGCAGAAAACGUAUACGUCGUCGUCGUAGUCGUCGUUGUGGUUGUCUAAGAUUUCUUAGACGGAAAUGUCUCUUUGGUUAAUGUUGUCGUUGUCGUCGUCGUCGUCGUUGUUGUUGUCGUCGUCGUCGUCGUCGUCAAUGAAGCAGUUGUCUCAGAUUUGUACUCUUGGGGUCCUUUCGACCGAGGAAUACUCGGUCCAUGGACACGUUUUUCUAACUGGGUAAUGUACAUAGUAGUUGUCUUGUCUGGUGUCCUAUUGUUAUAUCUCAUGACCUCUUUGAAACAGUUACUCAUAAAACGAGGUUGACGAUUUUUCUCCACCACACACAGAGAGAUACCUUCACCAGCAGUUUGAUGACCUCAAAAGGGAGUCCUACAGACCGUGACGCUUUAUACGUUAGCUUUCGGACCGGCCCCGAAACUCUGUUGUCAUCUCCAGAAUGGCGCUGAUACGGUUUAGUUUAUACGCUCACCAUGUAACCUUCUUGAUAACAUAUAACUAUACGGUGCGCUUAGGGUCUUACGUAGACCUGUCUAAUAAAACCUAAUACGUUUUCGUUAGGUCCUUUCACAGAAACUAGUUAACGCGCACCAUGCACUCCCCGUAGAUUCCUAUCAAAAAUUAGGUCUGGAGUUCUAACGUAGAACCCUCAAAACACGAUCCGCAGUACUCCUUGACUAAGGCGCCUCUAGUUAUUAUGGAGUCCAAUCAGUCGAACCGUGCCAACAUGUUUUUAUGGUCCGACGACGAGUUUCAAGUUGCUCAAAUUGCUGGGUCCUGUACGUCUUAUUAACGUUGAGCAAACAACGUACACGCGCGGUUGACCGAUUUCGGAACCUCCACGGAAACCAUUUACUAAAUCCUAUAUGUUUUUCUAUACAGGCGACGGAAGUCUAACGCCUCCACCAUUUGACGUACUUUCUAGACUAACUGAUAUCGUCCGUCUGUCCUAGACCCGGUUAGUUAUCGGAAGUAUUGAAAGGAGCCUCCUCAGGUCGUCCAUAAUUGGGAGAAGUUGGUGUCGUCGUUGUCGGACUUCUCGUCGUUAGACAAGGGGUCUCAAGUUUGGUCUCACCGGUUUUAAGACGAGGAUACCGACCACACGUCCGAAGACGGAGACGGUUACGUCUGCACUGUAGUUUAUCAAGAAACUGCACACGUGGGAGAUGUAGACGUGGGAGCGGUAGACAACAACCCGAGGAGGUUCCAAGUCACUUAAGAUCUGUUCUAGUAGGUUACCCGUGGCAUUUGCCAGACAUAUUGUCACCUCUACUACCGCACUAAGGGUUCCACUUGAGAUGUUCAAGUAACGUCAGUUUAGGCAGAGGGAGAAAGAGAAGGGUCCACGGGUGUAGUAGGUUAUUGUUGUACUACGGGCGGGGAGUCUUGUGUUUGGUUGAGUCAAGGGGUCGUCAUAGUAGUAGUUUGAACGGAGGUCACGUCGGUGGACGUUGAGCCCGAGUCCUUGGACUCGGUUCACUAAGGGUUUCGAGCCAAGUCUCUUAGAACGUUCUCUACUACAGUAGUGUUUACUUACCACAACCGGUACCUCGCUUACUGUACUUCUCUGGUUUGCCUGAACGGGGACCAUAAUUACCCCAAUUGACGAAUCAACCAUUACGCCAGUGUUUAGUGAGUCCUCACCCUCCUUACCCUAAACCCCGGUACCCACCUAAACCAAGUUUAUCACGUCGAUCACCUGACUCUUACCGUUACCGUUUGUUACGUUACCGUUUGUCACCCUACCGUUACUUACCGUCCUACCCCUACCCCUACGUAGUGUCACGUGUACUGGAUAGUGUCAACCCGGUCGUCGUCGUCGUCGUCUUGGUCGUCGUCGUGGUCGUCGUAGUCGUUGUCGUACUGUAUCCUUUAGUCGACAACCCACCUGAAUCUCGACGUUUAUCGAAGUUAUUAGAAGUCAUACUGACCUUUGGGAGAGUUAUCUAACUAGCCUUUAUGUUCAAGUUAUACUACUACCACGUCGACGGGAGUGACCCGAGUAACGAAUACCUCGCAGUUAACGAACGAGAGAACACAGGUUCGUAACCACGAAAACGUGGUUCCCACGGUACCUUUCCUUAGUAUCCGCUACCGUUCGUAGAGUCGAGCGCCGACAUACAACGUUGUCAUCAACCAAGGGACACAUAAUACGUUGAUACCAUGACCCGAUGGACGGAGCCAAUAGAAUGGCUUUCUAUCUCAAUUUUCUAAUCUUAGACGGACGUGACCCGUACCAGCCACAGUCACAAACCACAAUAAAGAGUGGGCCUUUUCUUCAAAAGGGAGGAAAAAAAAGGAAUUGCCUACUGUAGGCUUGACAUUAAAUAGUGGCGGGAACGACAUCGUUAGUAUACACGACUAUAGAAGCGGACUCUUAAGAGAGCAACAUCGGAAUGACAUGAGACAUAUUCGACAGUAUAACUGAGCACCUUUUUCAUAGUUCUUACAAAGGCAGCCCAUUUUCCACGUGAGAAGAUAGG